AUACGUAGGGUGCGAGCGUUGUCCGGAAUUACUGGGCGUAAAGAGCUCGUAGGCGGUUUGUCGCGUCGUCUGUGAAAUUCUGCAGCUUAACUGCAGGCGUGCAGGCGAUACGGGCAGACUUGAGUACUACAGGGGAGACUGGAAUUCCUGGUGUAGCGGUGAAAUGCGCAGAUAUCAGGAGGAACACCGGUGGCGAAGGCGGGUCUCUGGGUAGUAACUGACGCUGAGGAGCGAAAGCGUGGGUAGCGAACAGGAUUAGAUACCCUGGUAGUCCACGCCGUAAACGGUGGGUACUAGGUGUGGGUUCCUUUUCACGGGAUCCGUGCCGUAGCUAACGCAUUAAGUACCCCGCCUGGGGAGUACGGCCGCAAGGCUAAA
rnacentral:rRNA from 1 species